CAGUCGCCACGGGAAUACGAAGGGUGCAAGCGUUAAUCGGAAUUACUGGGCGUAAAGCGUGCGUAGGCGGUGAGUUAAGUCUGCUGUGAAAUCCCCGGGCUCAACCUGGGAAUGGCAGUGGAUACUGGCUCGCUAGAGUGUGUCAGAGGAUGGUGGAAUUCCCGGUGUAGCGGUGAAAUGCGUAGAGAUCGGGAGGAACAUCAGUGGCGAAGGCGGCCAUCUGGGACAACACUGACGCUGAGGCACGAAAGCGUGGGGAGCAAACAGGAUUAGAUACCCCCGUAGUCCCUGUCUCUUAUAA
rnacentral:rRNA from 1 species